rnacentral:rRNA from 1 species
GUGCAGCAGUCGCGAAACCUCCGCAAUACACGAAAGUGUGACGGGGCCAUCCCGAGUGCCGUCCGCUGAGGACGGCUUUUCCCCAGUGUACACAGCUGGGGGAAUAAGGAGAGGGCAAGCCUGGUGUCAGCCGCCGCGGUAAUACCAGCUCUCCGAGUGGUGGGACGCUUAUUGGGCCUAAAGCAUCCGUAGCCGGCUGGGCAAGUCCUCCGUUAAAUCCAACGAUUCAAUCGUUGGGCUGCGGGGGAUACUGUCCAGCUUGGGGGCGGGAGAGGCCGACGGUAUUCCCGGGGUAGGGUGAAAUCCUAUAAUCCCGGGAGGACCACCAGUGGCGAAGGCUGUCGGCUAGAACGCGCCCGACGGUGAGGGAUGAAAAGCUGGGGGAGCGAACCGGAUUAGAUA